GCUCAGAUUGAACGCUGGCGGCAGGCCUAACACAUGCAAGUCGAGCGGCAGCGGGAGGAAGCUUGCUUCCUCGCCGGCGAGCGGCGGACGGGUGAGUAAUGUCUGGGGAUCUGCCCGAUGGAGGGGGAUAACCACUGGAAACGGUGGCUAAUACCGCAUAACGUCGCAAGACCAAAGUGGGGGACCUUCGGGCCUCACACCAUCGGAUGAACCCAGAUGGGAUUAGCUAGUAGGUGGGGUAAUGGCUCACCUAGGCGACGAUCCCUAGCUGGUCUGAGAGGAUGACCAGCCACACUGGAACUGAGACACGGUCCAGACUCCUACGGGAGGCAGCAGUGGGGAAUAUUGCACAAUGGGCGCAAGCCUGAUGCAGCCAUGCCGCGUGUGUGAAGAAGGCCUUCGGGUUGUAAAGCACUUUCAGCGAGGAGGAAGGUGGUGAGCUUAAUACGUUCAUCAAUUGACGUUACUCGCAGAAGAAGCACCGGCUAACUCCGUGCCAGCAGCCGCGGUAAUACGGAGGGUGCAAGCGUUAAUCGGAAUUACUGGGCGUAAAGCGCACGCAGGCGGUUUGUUAAGUCAGAUGUGAAAUCCCCGAGCUUAACUUGGGAACUGCAUUUGAAACUGGCAAGCUAGAGUCUCGUAGAGGGGGGUAGAAUUCCAGGUGUAGCGGUGAAAUGCGUAGAGAUCUGGAGGAAUACCGGUGGCGAAGGCGGCCCCCUGGACGAAGACUGACGCUCAGGUGCGAAAGCGUGGGGAGCAAACAGGAUUAGAUACCCUGGUAGUCCACGCCGUAAACGAUGUCGAUUUGGAGGUUGUGCCCUUGAGGCGUGGCUUCCGGAGCUAACGCGUUAAAUCGACCGCCUGGGGAGUACGGCCGCAAGGUUAAAACUCAAAUGAAUUGACGGGGGCCCGCACAAGCGGUGGAGCAUGUGGUUUAAUUCGAUGCAACGCGAAGAACCUUACCUACUCUUGACAUCCAGAGAACUUAGCAGAGAUGCUUUGGUGCCUUCGGGAACUCUGAGACAGGUGCUGCAUGGCUGUCGUCAGCUCGUGUUGUGAAAUGUUGGGUUAAGUCCCGCAACGAGCGCAACCCUUAUCCUUUGUUGCCAGCGGUUAGGCCGGGAACUCAAAGGAGACUGCCAGUGAUAAACUGGAGGAAGGUGGGGAUGACGUCAAGUCAUCAUGGCCCUUACGAGUAGGGCUACACACGUGCUACAAUGGCGUAUACAAAGAGAAGCGAACCUGCGAAGGCAAGCGGACCUCAUAAAGUACGUCGUAGUCCGGAUUGGAGUCUGCAACUCGACUCCAUGAAGUCGGAAUCGCUAGUAAUCGUAGAUCAGAAUGCUACGGUGAAUACGUUCCCGGGCCUUGUACACACCGCCCGUCACACCAUGGGAGUGGGUUGCAAAAGAAGUAGGUAGCUUAACCUUCGGGAGGGCGCUUACCACUUUGUGAUUCAUGACUGGGGUGAAGUCGUAACAAGGUAACCGUAGGGGAACCUG
rnacentral:rRNA from 1 species